CUGCUUUGGCAGCAAGUAUAUUAAAAUUGGAAAGAUACAGAGAAGAUUAUCAUGGCCCCUGCACAGGCAUGUCACAAAAAUUUGAGUGGCAUUCUCUGUUUCU